GGUGAACGCUGGCGGCGUGCUUAAGACAUGCAAGUCGAACGGGCUCUUCGGAGCCAGUGGCGCACGGGUGAGUAACGCGUAACUGACCUACCCCAAAGUCGCGGAUAACGAUUCGAAAGAAUCGCUAAUACGUGAUGUGCUGUCAGAUCCUGUUCUGCCAGUAAAGAUUUAUUGCUUUGGGAUGGGGUUGCGUUCCAUCAGCUAGUUGGUUGGGUAAAGGCCCACUAAGGCGACGACGGAUCGCCGGCCUGAGAGGGUGGCCGGCCACAGGGGCACUGAGACACGGGUGCGACUCCUACGGGAGGCAGCAGUUAGGAAUCGUCCACAAUGGGCGAAAGCCUGAUGGAGCGACGCCGCGUGAGGGAUGAAGGUCCUCGGAUCGUAAACCUCUGAAUCAGGGACGAAAGACGCGAACGCGGGAUGACGGUACAUGAGUAAUAGCACCGGCUAACUCCGUG
rnacentral:rRNA from 1 species